rnacentral:lncRNA from 1 species
AAAUACCUGGGUGACUAAUGACUUUGCACAGCUCAGCUGGCUUUUCUGAACAUUUCAUGGGACGUCUCUCCAGGGGAAACAACCUGAAAAUGUUUCAGGACUCCGGGUGGCAUUGAAGGGCCAGAGAGGGGUGUUUAGUGCACGCUGUUGGCUGGCUGGUUUUGUGGGUUUUGUUCACCGUCUACCGGGCAGAGAGCCUUUCUGCCGAUGUCGCCAGAUGCCUCUCUCCAAGCGAAAUGACCCAUUUGCAUGCGUGGUGCAGACAUUUUCCGGAGCUCCAGGGCUCCCAGGCCUCCCCAGGCCUCCGAUUGUAAAGGAUCGUAGGGCCACCCCUUUCCUUGUUCACAUGGACAGCGCCUAAGAGGAUUUAGAAUCAAGUGGGCACAUUUGCACUGCCUUGUUCUGAAGAGGCAGCUGGAGCGCGGACUGGCCUGGCGCAACCCACCGCGGGUCCCGGGGGACCGCAUUGUCUCGGAGGGGCCGCCACAGGGGCUCCAUUGUGAGCGGGGCCGGCCUUUUUCUCCUGCCCUCUGUCUCCCCGGGCCUCCCCUCAUCCCCCCCACCCCCCCUCCACGCAGACUUUUCUCUCAAGCUGCCGGCACCCCCGGCUGCCGCAUUUCCAAUGCAGGGGAGCGGCGAGGCUCCGGGCUGGCCAUCUGCACGCGGAGAUUGACAGCAGUCCCGGAAGGGGUCAUUACUUAGGGAUCAGCAAUUUGCUAAAGAUGAACAGAUUCUAAGAAGAUGGUUUUCCAGCAGCAACCAAUUUUAAAUCUGGACUGUGCACCAGGCACCUCUUGGAUGGACAGCCCUGAAACAUCUUUCAUGCAACUCCUCAGGCAGCCCAGAAACAGCCAGGAACCAUUCGCCAGGAGCUGUGGCCAACUUAAUAACUCAUCCUUGUAUUGGUUUCCAUCCUCUGUCCUUCAUCCGUCUUGUCUUUUACUCCUACUUGCUGGAUCACACAUCCCAAUAAAUUUUUGCACUCAAGCGUUUGUCUCAGGAUCUGCUGUCCGGAGGACCAAGACUAAGUUCAAGUCAUAUUUUUUUUUUUUUGAGAUGGAAUCUCACUCUGUUGCCCAGGCUGGAGUGCAGCGGCAUGAUUUUGAUUCACUGCAACGUCCACCUCCCGGGUUCAAGUGAUUGUCCUGCCUCAGCCUCAUGAGUAGCUGGGAUUACAGGUGCACGCCACCACACCUGGCUAAUUUUUGUAUUUUUAGUAGAGACAGGGUUUCACCAUGU